UACGUAGGGUGCAAGCGUUAAUCGGAAUUACUGGGCGUAAAGCGUGCGCAGGCGGUUAUGUAAGACAGAUGUGAAAUCCCCGGGCUCAACCUGGGAAUUGCAUUUGUGACUGCACGGCUAGAGUGUGUCAGAGGGGGGUAGAAUUCCACGUGUAGCAGUGAAAUGCGUAGAGAUGUGGAGGAAUACCGAUGGCGAAGGCAGCCCCCUGGGAUAACACUGACGCUCAUGCACGAAAGCGUGGGAGCAAACAGG
rnacentral:rRNA from 1 species